AUUGAACGCUGGCGGCAGGCUUAACACAUGCAAGUCGAGCGGAGAUGAGGUGCUUGCACCUUAUCUUAGCGGCGGACGGGUGAGUAAUGCUUAGGAAUCUGCCUAUUAGUGGGGGACAACAUUCCGAAAGGAAUGCUAAUACCGCAUACGCCCUACGGGGGAAAGCAGGGGAUCUUCGGACCUUGCGCUAAUAGAUGAGCCUAAGUCGGAUUAGCUAGUUGGUGGGGUAAGGGCCUACCAAGGCGACGAUCUGUAGCGGGUCUGAGAGGAUGAUCCGCCACACUGGGACUGAGACACGGCCCAGACUCCUACGGGAGGCAGCAGUGGGGAAUAUUGGACAAUGGGGGGAACCCUGAUCCAGCCAUGCCGCGUGUGUGAAGAAGGCCUUAUGGUUGUAAAGCACUUUAAGCGAGGAGGAGGCUUCUUUGGUUAAUACCCAAAGUAAGUGGACGUUACUCGCAGAAUAAGCACCGGCUGACUCUGUGCCAGCCGCCGCAGUAACAC
rnacentral:rRNA from 1 species